UCCCUGGUGGUCCAGUGGCUUAGACUCCGUGCUCCCAACGCAGGGGCCCAGGUUCGAUUCCUGGUCAGGGAA
rfam:TPA: Bos taurus chromosome 7, whole genome shotgun sequence.